rnacentral:rRNA from 1 species
AAUCAACGCUGGCGGCGUGCCUAACACAUGCAAGUCGAACGCGAAAGGGGCUUCGGCCCUGAGUAGAGUGGCGUCCGGGUGAGUAACGCGUGGGUAAUCUACCCUCGGGUGGGGAAUAACCAAUCGAAAGAUUGGCUAAUACCGCAUAAUGCAGCGGCUCGACAUCGAGACAGUUGUUAAAGCAGCAAUGCGCCAGAGGAGGAGCCUGCGUCUGAUUAGCUGUUGGCGGGGUAACGGCCCACCAAGGCUACGAUCAGUAGCUGGUCUGAGAGGACGGCCAGCCGCAAUGGCACUGAAACACGGGCCAUACUCCUACGGGAGGCAGCAGU